CGCCGCUGCUAUGGGCGCCACUGUUGUUGUGAAGCCCCGACGCCGCCGCUCACUCCGCCAUGUUGCCGCCCCCUGCCUGCGGUAGCGGCCACUGCGCCUGCGCAGAGCCUCCGGGGGGCGGAGCCCUGGCGGCACCCCCUCUUUCGCCCUGCCCUCCUUCUCCUUCCACCCACCCACCCCGACACCCCUUGUCCCUCCCCCAACCACUCUGAACGGAUAGACAGGGGGAGAUUCAUCUUCGUCGUCGCACCCAGCUGCUGCUACUGCCAGUGCCACGUGCCUUGCAAGAUAAAGAAGCACCAGCAGAGCUGGCGAGCAGAAACCUGGCCUCAGGGCAAAAGAGAUGCCACAGAAAUAGUUACACAGGCCUCGGAAGGGAAGCCUCCACUGCGUGUACGGCCCCCGUGGACUGCCACAGGGAACCAAAAAAUCCAGCACAGAGUCACUAAUUUAAGGAUCUAUAAGCCUAAAGAGGGAGCUGCCAUUUAUGGCCGUGUUUAA
rnacentral:lncRNA from 1 species